UCUCAUCUAUGGAUUGCCACAACGUUUAACAAGACCACAUGGAAUGUUCUGGAAUGAAGGAAGGUGUCUACAUCAUAGAGGCCAAGCCCAAGCAAUGGCUACCCCAUCAGGGUGGCUGUCCUCAGAGCUCCUGGCAUAGGAGCAGAGGAAUACAUACGUCACAUUGUUAGUGAGGUGAAGCAGCAGUAGAGCUGAGGCCAGAACAAGGACAGAACUCUGCUAGAUACAGCCCUGGACCCUCUGCUGUCCCUACCCGAGGAACUUUCCAGUCUGGAGCAGCUAGCUGCCUUGGGCUCUUCCUCCUCAGCAUGAGGUCUCUCUAAGAGGGUGAGGGGAUGCCUGCAAACAACCAUAAAACUCACCUUUCUGUCUGGAUGGUGACUCUGGAAGACGUCCAGACCUGCGCCUGGGGCCACUUGCUACUUCUAAAUAAAGGGGUUCCCCUUG